ACAUACCCUUUUCUACGGAAUAGCCUCGGGAAACUGACAGUAAUACCGUAUAAGCCCUUCGGGGGAAAGAUUUAUCGGGAAAGGAUUGGCCCGCGUUAGAUUAGAUAGUUGGUGGGGUAAUGGCCUACCAAGUCUACGAUCUAUAGCUGGUUUUAGAGGAUGAUCAGCAACACUGGGACUGAGACACGGCCCAGACUCCUACGGGAGGCAGCAGUGGGGAAUCUUAGACAAUGGGCGCAAGCCUGAUCUAGCCAUGCCGCGUGUGUGAUGAAGGUCUUAGGAUCGUAAAGCACUUUCGCCAGGGAUGAUAAUGACAGUACCUGGUAAAGAAACCCCGGCUAACUCCGUGCCAGCAGCCGCGGUAAUACGGAGGGGGUUAGCGUUGUUCGGAAUUACUGGGCGUAAAGCGUACGUAGGCGGAUUGGAAAGUUGGGGGUGAAAUCCCAGGGCUCAACCCUGGAACUGCCUCCAAAACUAUCAGUCUAGAGUUCGAGAGAGGU
rnacentral:rRNA from 1 species